GCGUGUGGAUUUUUUUAGCUGAUAGCAGCAUUUCUUGACUGCGAGUGAUCGCUCUGGGAGCUGGUGCCACACUGCAUGUGGUGCGACCGUGCCUCGCUCGCCGGGUGAACGACCGUGGUGCUGCUCGGAGGCGCGUUGGGAGUGAGCCAAGUUCACCCCGUAUCACUUGGGGUCACCUUGCCGAGCUGGGGUGUGAAGUGAAUUUUAAGACUGGAUUGCACCUAGCUGCAUGGCACCUUUGGGGAGUGGAUCUAGGCAGCCGACUUUCGCUCCAGGUGUAAAGUGAAUUCACCAAAAUGGCAUCAAUACAUCAGAGAAAAAACGAGGAGCUCAGUCGUUGUCACUUGCGGAGAAUUGGAUGCAAACCUACAGUCUCUGGUAUUGCUGAUCUUAUUCACUUUUAUAAGGAUGUUACACUAUUUGGCAGAAACAAAGAUGUUGUGGACUACUUCAUUAGCUCUCCAGGCGAAACAAAAGAUUGCAUAUCCCGACAUCAUGCCAGAGUGAUUCGAACCGCUGGUACUUAUGAGCUUGUGGAUUCCAGCCUGACAGGCGUUUAUGUUAAUGACAUCAAAAUUGGUGGUAAAGUUAUCUUGCGGAAAGGUGAUACUGUUAUAUUUGGGCAUCCCACAGAAAGACAUGUAAAGCCUGGAACGCAAGUUCGUCAGCCAAACUCACAGCUCUGCUUUCUGUUUGAACGCUGUUGCUGCAGGAUUGACCAGCGGCGAAGCGUCCGUGCUGAGAUGAAGAAUUUCAUACCACAGGUUCCAGUACCCCUGUUAACAUCUCCAGAGGUUCCUCAGUUCAGCUCAAACUUGGUAUUUGAGAAAAGUGUCAGUCUUCCUGCUCGACCCCCUUCAGCACGGACACCCCGAGAUAUUCCACACAGUGUUGGAGCGCUGUCUGAGUCUAGUAUGCGCUCUGAAGAAAGAGAGGUUUCCACAGUCACUGUGUCGUUGCCAUUUACUUCUGUGGGAUCAGUAAACUUUUCAGCUAAAUCCUCUGUCUCUACAAAUUUUUCUAAUGUGACUUCAGCCAGAUUUGAAAAGCGAGGAACCUGUAAAUCAGCUGCCAUAUCAGAUGCUAUGCUGAAAGGUUGCGCUACGCUGGAGCCUCUAGUUUUACGCUCUGCUUCACCUGAAUAUGAGGUAAUGAGCAGCGAUUCAGCAGUGACUGCAGAGUCUGUUCAACAGGCAGCCUUUUUGCCUCAGGAAAAUGCCUCAAACAAAGCAAAACGGAUAAAUCCUGACUUGCUACCUGUGGAACAAAGUGAAGGCCAAACAUAUGCAUCAAGAUCCACCCCAGAAUCUUACAAACUAUUCCUGGAAGAAAAAUGGGACAAUGAAGGAGUAGAAAUGGAACCUUAUUCAGCAGCUUCUCCGAAUGAGGAACCUGUGAUAUCCAUGGAUAUUGUGAGGGCAGAUGACUGUCAUCACCUGUGUAGCAGAGAGAUGGUUGAUCUUUCAGCUGACGCGUUAGCUCUUUCAGACUCGUCUCAGCCAGGAUGUCAAGGCCAACACGUUCCGAGGUUGUCAGAACCUGUAGCUGACAAGUCAGUGCUUCGAAGUUGUGAAAGGUCUGACAGUGAAUUAGUAGUGAUGGAGAAUGAUGUUGAUAAAUGCACAGAUGAAAUGGUUGGAAAUGAAACUGCUGAGACUUCAGGACCAGGCACUCAGGUUAUGAGUCUACUUCAGGCUGCAAAACAAGAUACAAAUAAUGUCUCAUUAGUCAGUAGUUACAAGGAGAAGACGACAGAAAAGGAAAGUUCUAUGGAGUACUGCGAAGAGACCUCUGAGGAGCAGCAUAAACCUGAUGCUUGUGCGCAUGAUGCUUCAUGUGAGACUACAUUAUUUACUGAAAUGGAAAUGUAUGAAUAUUAUCCAAAGAGAAAACAUUGUUCUUCUGUUAACAGCUCAUCAGAAUCAGUCACUGACGUAAAAAAUAAUUCAGAAAAUGGUGACCCUGCUAAAAGAAAAAGGACUCCUGAAGGUCAGCAUGCCACUGUAAAACAAAUAGAGAAUCAAAAAAACCUGGUGCAUGCUGGUAUUAAAACUGCAACAGAAGAAGGGGAGCUGCUGUCUGAAACCACUGCGACUCUAAGCAGAGCGCAGGAAGCAAGUGUACAGUUGGAGCCAGAAGUGGCGCUUCUGUGUAGUUCUCUGCACUCUGAGACCAAAAGUGACUUUACGUCAACUCUGGAAGAAAAGAACGUUAUUCCAAAUGGGAUGGAAAAACAGAUUAGUUGUAAAACUGUAGAAAGCGGCACUUCUCCCGUAGCAGACAGAGAGUUGGGCUUAGGAAUGUUAAAUAGUAGCCUAAAUAUAAAAAUGCAGCAGCCUGCAACUGCUUCAGAUCCUUGUGAAUCAGCUGAAUCUAACCACGAUAAAAUCAUUACAGCAGUAAACACAGGUCACGAUGGAGAAACAUGUAAUAAUCAUGUUUUUGAUUUGCAAAAUGCCCUCCAUCAGAACCUCCUGUUUGCAGACACUGAAGGAGUUAAGCCAGUAGAUCAGGACUGUUCUCAUGCACAGACUACUCAGACAAGGUAUGCAGCCAAAGCAGUAUCUCCCUGUGAGAGCAAAAUGGCUCCUGUCAAAUCCACAGUUGAUGAUGAUGGGGCUGUAUUAUUGCCAAGCUGCACUGCUGGACGCAUAGAUACUGGAGCCAGUCAGAUGGUUUUCUCGGAUGGUGAAACUCCGGCUGUGAUCCGUUCAGAAGAUGAAGAAAUAGCAGUGGAUUCUCAUGUGGCAGAAGACAGACUUGUAAAAAGUACCAUAGAUGCUACAGUACCAGAAACCCAUCUUUCUUCACAAUGUAUCAGUGACAGCGUCGUACAUUUGCCUUCUGCAAACCAAGUGUCAUCUGGAGGUGUAGUAUGUGAUUCAGUCUAUAAGCAUGUGUCACGUUUUGGAUAUUUACACCCUGAAAACCCUUCCGGAUGUCCAGUCCUGAAGGAAGGAGAGCCGAAUCACUCAGAAGCACCUGUCAGGUCCGCGAGGGGAGUGAACGCCACAGCUCAGGAGCGGCUGAAAUGCAGAGCAGUUUCUCAAGCGCAUCUUGGUGGAGAGGAAGAAAGUGACGCUUCUGUCAGGACUUCAGUGGGUGAGACUGAGAACCCAGAAGCUCCUGCGCAGCCUGCGUCUGUAAGGAGAGGCAAUGCCUGCGACACGCUGCGUUGCUGCCAGGCAGGUAUUUCUGCGCCCGCUGCUCUAAGCGCCUCCGUUUGCGCCGAGUCUGAAUGUGUUCAGCCUCACCCUGCCCGUUUGAUUUCACCUUUAUCUAAAGAGGAGAUGCCCAGGGAGGCUGGCGAUGAUUUUAGUAAAACAAAGCAAGGGAGUGCUUCUCAAGGAGAAAUGGAAGAAGCAGAUGUGAAAACGAAUGUCAUUAUUUUGACAUGGGAUGGUGAGGGGAUAUCUGAAGAUAAAGAUGACAGCGAGGCCAGGAUGGAAGUGGAUACAUCUCCUGUUAGGGAUAACACUGAAGUAUGUCAUGCAGAAGUGGGAACGGAAACUAGAUUCGUAAAGAAGAGAAAAACCAAUUCAUUAUCUACAAAACUUUUAGAAGAUGGGAACAAAGAUAGAUCAACAAAGCAUAAUCGUUAUGAGGAAGAUGAAAGUAAUGUGCCUAUGGACACAAAUGUGCCUUCAAGUGGAAUUGUUGAAGUACAUGUUGAAACCAUUCGUGAUGGUGCAAAUGACAGUCCCUUGAAAGAGUUCUCUGAAGAGAUGGAGAUGGGCCCUACAGGCUCUGCACAAGCAGCAAAGUCAGAGCUGUUUUCAGGGUUGGAAACAUGUGAGAGUGAGACAGUCUCUGUAGGCUUGUGCUCUCCUAUUAGAGGAAUAUUUUUUGAAAACCCAGGAGAGAAAUUGCUGGAAGUUACUAAUUCUGAAUCAUCUCUGAAUUUAGGUAGAGAAAUUCCUAAUGAUCUUCAGCCGCAGGGUAAUGGCUACCUAGAGGAAAAGGAGUCUUUAGGAGAAGAUUGGUCACUUUUAUCUCCUUCUGAAAAAGAAAACGUGGACGCCAACCAAAGUCUGAAAGCAUUUGAAAUCUCUGUGAUCUGUUCUGUGGAUUCCACGUUUGAUAACGGCAGCGAUCAAAGGUUGAACGCUGCUGAUGGCAAGGUACAGACGACUGCUUGCUCAUCAGAGGAUGCUGUGCUAUCAGAAGAACACGAUGAUCUCUCAGGCAGUAUUGAGGGGAAAGCUUGCCAAGAGACAAAAGAAGAUAGUGUUGAAAGCAAAAGUACUACAGGAAUAGUGGGAGAGAGAAGGGUUUCAAGACCAUCUAUAAACGAUAGCAUGUUGGAGGAACAGAAAGACCAAGAAAACGAUUGGGGAAACGCAGGUGUUCGGCAGACAUGUUGUAAUUUUGGCAGUACUACAGCUGCACUUGCAAAGAGGCUGGAGCAGAGUACCGAUUGCUGCUCCUCUGACUUGGUUUCCUUUUCCUCCAGCCUUGUGCCCGUAGGCUCACCCAAACGCGCAUGGUGUGAGGGUAACUGUUGUUCCUGUUUGCGCACAGAGCCCUCUUGCCCUGUGGAUGAAAGGGGAGUAGGAAGCGGUCUGCAGUAUGCACGUGCCUGCUCCUUGGUCCAGCUCUGCCCUAAGAAUGAAGAAGGAAAUGGUGGUGAAGAAGGGGCGGAACCGGCACACGAUGAACAGUGUGAUAAAUCAGUAGUGGAAAA
rnacentral:lncRNA from 1 species